rnacentral:sRNA from 1 species
UAUUGAUAAUAAAUGUAGAAAAAUAUCAUAAAAUACAGCAUAGACAUAGGGGAAAAAUGUCAAUUAAUCCCCCAACUUUCAAAAAAUGGCCAUUUUAUACAUCAACUUCGUAUGCGGCCGUUUAAAUCAUGAAUUUAACGUUGACUAAUUUUAAAAACGUGAUUAUUCGUUGACCAGGCCAAAGCAGACAUGUCGUUAUCAGUCAUUAACGGAACUUCUAACGUCCGUUAUCAUCCGUUAACAACUUUAUUAGUCAAGUUUUAAAUUGUGGCCAUUUUAAACAUCAAGUUCAUAUGUGGCCAUUUAAAACAUGAACUAAACGUUGACUACCAUUUAAAACAUGAAAAAUUCGUUGACCAAACCAAAAUAAACAUGUUGUUAUCAUUCAUUAAAAGAACUUAUAACAUUCGUAAAUUUAUAAGUUUUUAGUCAAUUAUUAAAAA